rnacentral:rRNA from 1 species
UACAGAGGUCCCAAGCGUUGUUCGGAUUUACUGGGCGUAAAGGGUGCGUAGGUGGUCGGGUAAGUCUCAUGUGAAAUCCCGCAGCUUAACUGCGGAACGGCAUGGGAUACUAGUCGGCUCGAGGAUUGGAGGGGGGACUGGAAUUCCCGGUGUAGCAGUGAAAUGCGUAGAUAUCGGGAGGAACACCAGUGGCGAAGGCGAGUCCCUGGACAAUUACUGACGCUGAGGCACGAAAGCCAGGGGAGCAAACAGG